CAGGGAUUAAAAAAGGAAUUUAAUCAGCCUAAGGGGAAAGGAACGCCAAGGAAAUCUUUCAGAAGAGCUAAUGUGGGAACCAAGUGCUCAUGGAUCACCUCAAGCAUAAGUGAACAAGACAAAUUUUGGAACUGCCAAUAGUUAAAGUCUUGUUGUUCUCAGGUUUCUGGUUGGAACAGUAACCAACUCUGUGUGCCAUCAUCCCAGUCCUAGGAUUCCUCAACUGUCUGCUGGCUCUGUCUCUCAGCAAAUCUUCCCAUCGCACUGGACACAUGGAAACUUUGGAUCUCUACACAACAAUCAAGGGGAACAAGCAACUGUAGGGAAAGUACAAAGUCUAACAAUUUCUUCUUCAUGGACCUUUUUGCUCAAUCUUUCUGAGGAAAGAGGUAAUGUCACUAGGUAAUUCUGAAGAGAUUGAGGAGAGUAGUCAAGCUUUGAAGAAGCCGCUGAAGAGAAGAAGCUAACUAUGGGAAGAAGUGUCAGGCAGUGUUGAUAAGCUCCAGACUAUACAUUUCUAGUAGGCAAACAGGGGCAAAUAUGUGACAUUUUCUCCAUCACUGCCCAAUGAUAAUAGCAAAGGGUUGAAGACUGGGAGAACAUCCAAGAGAGGUGGGACGGGGAGGUUGAGGAUGUCUAAAAAUAGUGGGGAUAAAACAAUGAAUGAGCUGGACAGAUCCACAGCAGGCUGUGGUCAGAUUAGGGGAUAAUGGGUUCUCAUAGUUUAAAGGUAGAAAGUUUUCAGGAGAUGAAAAACCUUGUGGGGGAGGUUUGAAGUAAAGAAGUGAAAACUGAUAAAUUUAAAAAGUCGAAUCACCGUAAGGCUGGGGAUUUGCUUGGAAAUUGAAGCUGGUUAGGAUGAAGGUUGAACUUGGUGUGAAGAGCAAGACACAUUUCCAGGUUCUAAAGACAUGGAGAGAAACCACUGGGAGUUAAAUAGAAUGAAAUUAAGACAAUGUGCAUGACAACAGCAAGGAGGGUUAACAUAUAUCAGAGGACAAAAGCCUGCAAGGAAAACAGAUUUGAGAGGAGUUAAGAAGGUAAUGGGCUGAAAGGGAAAACCAGGACAAUGGAAUACUAAUCAAUCUCUCCAUCUCUCUUCCCCAACUGCAGAGCUAGAAGACAUAGAUAAGGAAGAGAAGAGCUAUUCUUAGGAGAGAGCCAGAUUUCAGGUAAGGAGAUAGAGGUAGUUCAUUUGGCAAAUGACUCAGAGAGCAGGAAGAGCGAAGCAUGAAGAAAGCGAAAGCACAGCAGAGAAGAAAAAGCUAGUGAAGCUUGCAUUUUGAAUGACAGGCAAAGCAGAGGGGAUUGGGAGAGAAAUUUAGUGGACUGUUCUGAAGAGAGCCUUCUGAAGAGAACUUUGGUACAUAACCACUUGCUGUCCCUGGCUGAGGUCGUCGGAGUUUG
rnacentral:lncRNA from 1 species